rnacentral:tRNA from 1 species
GCCGGGAUGGUGAAAUUGGUAGACACACAAGACUUAAAAUCUUGAGAUCGUAAGAUCGUGCGGGUUCAAGUCCCGCUCCCGGCACCA